UACGGGGGGGGCAAGCGUUAUUCGGAAUUACUGGGCGUAAAGAGCGCGUAGGCGGCUUGGCAAGUCAAAGGUGAAAUCCCUCGGCUCAACCGAGGAAUUGCCUUUGAAACUGCCUUGCUCGAGGCUGGGAGGGGGUAGCGGAAUUCCCGGAGUAGCGGUGAAAUGCGUAGAUAUCGGGAGGAACACCCGUGGCGAAGGCGGCUACCUGGACCAGUUCUGACGCUGAGGCGCGAAAGCGUGGGGAGCAAACAGG
rnacentral:misc_RNA from 1 species